rnacentral:sRNA from 1 species
CUGCCAUGGAGCCCCAGCGGCUACACACUCCACUCACUCACACCUCUCAGGGCCCUGCACGUUCCCACAGCCCUCAGGGUGUACGUGCUGUAGGUGUGGCUGUGCCCCAGAGUGCCAGCUGAUGAAGACGGAGCGGCCCCGGCCCAACACCUUCAUCAUCCGCUGCCUGCAGUGGACCACUGUCAUUGAACGCACCUUCCACGUGGAGACUCCUGAGGAGCGGGAGGAGUGGACAACCGCCAUCCAGACGGUGGCCGACGGCCUCAAGAAGCAGGAGGAGGAGGAGAUGGACUUCCGGUCGGGCUCACCCAGUGACAACUCAGGGGCUGAAGAGAUGGAGGUGUCCCUGGCCAAGCCCAAGCACCGCGUGACCAUGAAUGAGUUUGAGUACCUGAAGCUGCUGGGCAAGGGCACUUUUGGGAAGGUGAUCCUGGUGAAGGAGAAGGCUACAGGGCGCUACUACGCCAUGAAGAUCCUCAAGAAGGAAGUCAUCGUGGCCAAGGUGAGGCCGGGGCGGUGGGGCAGGGUGCAGACGAGGGUGCGGGGCGGCAGCUCACCCAGCCCUGCCUUACAGGACGAGGUGGCCCACACACUCACGGAGAACCGUGUCCUGCAGAACUCCAGGCACCCCUUCCUCACGGCCCUGAAGUACUCUUUCCAGACCCACGACCGCCUCUGCUUCGUCAUGGAGUACGCCAACGGGGGCGAGCUGUUCUUCCACCUGUCCCGGGAGCGUGUGUUCUCUGAGGACCGGGCCCGCUUCUAUGGCGCUGAGAUCGUGUCAGCCCUGGACUACCUGCACUCGGAGAAGAACGUGGUGUACCGGGACCUCAAGGUGCGCUGGUGGGCAGGCGGCGGGGCAGGGCCCCGGGGGCCUGGUGGCACUGACCUGAGGCCACCUUUCCCCUAGCUGGAGAACCUCAUGCUGGACAAGGACGGGCACAUUAAGAUCACAGACUUCGGGCUGUGCAAGGAGGGGAUCAAGGAUGGUGCUACCAUGAAGACCUUCUGCGGCACACCCGAGUACCUGGCCCCUGAGGUGCUGGAGGACAAUGACUACGGCCGUGCGGUGGACUGGUGGGGGCUGGGCGUGGUCAUGUACGAGAUGAUGUGCGGCCGCCUGCCCUUCUACAACCAGGACCAUGAGAAGCUUUUUGAGCUCAUCCUCAUGGAGGAGAUCCGCUUCCCGCGCACGCUUGGUCCCGAGGCCAAGUCCUUGCUCUCGGGGCUGCUCAAGAAGGACCCCAAGCAGAGGCUUGGCGGGGGUUCCGAGGACGCCAAGGAGAUCAUGCAGCAUCGCUUCUUUGCCGGCAUCGUGUGGCAGCAUGUGUACGAGAAGAAGCUCAGCCCGCCCUUCAAGCCCCAGGUCACAUCGGAGACCGACACCAGGUAUUUUGACGAGGAGUUCACGGCCCAGAUGAUCACCAUCACACCACCUGACCAAGACGACAGCAUGGAGUGUGUGGACAGCGAGCGCAGGCCCCACUUCCCCCAGUUCUCCUACUCGGCCAGCGGCACGGCCUGAGGCGGCGGUGGACUGCGCUGGACGGUAGCUUGGAGGGAUGGAGAGGCGACCUCGUGCCAUGAUCUGUAUUUAAUGGUUUUUAUUUCUCGGGUGCAUUUGAGAGAAGCCACGCCGUCCUCCUGAGCCCAGGUGGAAAGACGUUUUUGUGCUGUGGGCAGCACCCUCCCCCGCAGCGGGGUAGGGAAG